AGUGAACGCUGGCGGCAGGCCUAAUACAUGCAAGUCGAACGGCAGCACAGUGGAGCUUGCUCCAUGGGUGGCGAGUGGCGGACGGGUGAGGAAUACAUGGGAAUCUGCCCAGUCGUGGGGGAUAACGUAGGGAAACUUACGCUAAUACCGCAUGCGCCCUUCGGGGGAAAGCCGGGGACCUUCGGGCCUGGCGCGAUUGGAUGAGCCCAUGUUCGAUUAGCUAGUUGGCGGGGUAAAGGCCCACCAAGGCGACGAUCGAUAGCUGGUCUGAGAGGAUGAUCAGCCACACUGGGACUGAGACACGGCCCAGACUCCUACGGGAGGCAGCAGUAGGGAAUAUUGGACAACGGGCGCAAGCCUGAUCCAGCCAUGCCGCGUGAGUGAAGAAGGCCCUCGGGUUGUAAAGCUCUUUUGUCCGGGAAGAAAAGCAUCGGGCUAAUACCUCGGUGUUCUGACGGUACCGGAAGAAUAAGCACCGGCUAACUUCGUG
rnacentral:rRNA from 1 species